UUCCUUAAUGUGGUACUUGAGGGCCUUCUGGAGACGAACGUUUUCUUUGAAGACGGAUCUCCCGGUGGUGUCCAGCUGCCUGCGGCAGAAUGAGAUCGCCCGCCUGCUCCCGAAAUCCAACGUGCGGCUCCGGUCCCGUCCCGUCGCUCCUCGUCGAAGCACCUGCCCCCGUCCUUCUUCCCUCUCCGACUUCCACCUUCCACCGUCGACUCUCCGGUGGCUUCUUCCCCGCUGCUUUCAAACGACCUGACGUCUGCCCCGUCCUGGAAAAAUCUUCCCCUGACCCCACGGCUCCCUCCGGUCAUCUCCCUCCUCCGCUUCCUCCCCAGACUUGGCCUACCCCCCGCCGUCUCGAAUCCCUCUCCUCCGGCCGUGUCUCCCGGACCCCCUCCGACCCGGCUCGCGUCCCCUCGGCUCCACGGAGGCCGCCCUCUCAAGAGGUCCCCGACGAUCCCUCCCCUCGCCGGAUCCGACGGCCUCGACCCCCGUCCUCAUCCCGUCCCCUGGCAGACACGUUCCCUGCCCGCCGCGAGCUUUCGGGCCGGACGGACGUCGGCAUAAAAGAACACGGGAGGAGUUAAAACUACGCUCUCGGGGCACACGGGCGUGCUCACGCUGCACACGGCGAGCGCUCGGCAAAGCCGAUCGGUCGGUAAAAGGAAAAGAGGCUCGGGAACGGCCGUCGAUACCUUGCCCUCACCGAGAAGAACGGAGAGACAGAGUGAGAGAGGCGGAGGAAAAGAAGACCUCUUACAAAACGGCUUCUUGCUACGACAGAGAAAAAUCAUCAUCAGCUUGCGAAGGGGACGGUUUCUUAAACGCUGGCGGCGGCUCGUGCCAAAAUCUUCUCCAGGGGCUCUCGAUCUCGAGUGAAAUCAAAUCAGCCUUUACCCUCUCCCGGGAUCUCAGCGUCCUAUUUAUAAUAUGCCCCAAAACACAGGUCGUCGGGCUUCAGCGAAAUGGAGAGGCGGGGUUGGGGAAUCAAGAGGAACCCCAAGAUAUCCGAAAGACGCUUUUCAAGACUCAUCGGCUCGGCUUUUUGAAUUUCCCCCUCCAGCCUGGAAGACUCUCGACUCUUCAGCGACCCGGGACCCUAACUUUGGACGUCACGCAACAGGAAGGAAGGCAGUAUGGAUCGGUCAGGGAAUCGGUGCGACGCCAACCUAAUUGCGAGACACAGUCCUAGGAGGAGCUAAAUCAGACGGGAAAUAAGGGGACACCUGAUCAUCCUCUUUGAGGCCCAACUUUCUCACUAUUCUUUUUUCCAGCGCCCUUCGGGGAAAUCGCAUAGAUUCUCACUUUUCAUUCCUAUACUUUUGGGGGGGGGCGGCGGCGGGGAGUCUUUUCUCUCCCCCACUGUUUCAUUCAGUUUGAAAAUGAAAUUUGGGCUAGACGGAAAGCGGCACGGCCGAGCGGGGAGAGACGAACCCGGGAGCCCGAGGAACCGGGUCCUCAUCCCGGCCCCGCCGCCUGUCCGCUCCGUGGCGAAUUAGGCGGGCAAGUCAUCUGACUCCUCU